UACGAAGGGGGCUAGCGUUGCUCGGAAUCACUGGGCGUAAAGCGCACGUAGGCGGCUUUCUAAGUCAGGGGUGAAAUCCUGGAGCUCAACUCCAGAACUGCCUUUGAUACUGGAGAGCUUGAGUCCGGGAGAGGUGAGUGGAACUCCGAGUGUAGAGGUGAAAUUCGUAGAUAUUCGGAAGAACACCAGUGGCGAAGGCGGCUCACUGGCCCGGUACUGACGCUGAGGUGCGAAAGCGUGGGGAGCAACAGG
rnacentral:rRNA from 1 species